rnacentral:rRNA from 1 species
UACGUAGGGGGCAAGCGUUGUCCGGAUUUAUUGGGCGUAAAAGGCUUGUAGGUGGCCACGCCAAGUCGGAUGUGAAAUCUCCCGGCUCAACUGGGAGGGGUCAUUCGAUACUGGCGGGCUCGAGGCCGGUAGGGGGAAGUGGAAUUCCCGGUGUAGUGGUGAAAUGCGUAGAUAUCUGGAGGAACACCGGUGGCGAAGGCGGCAUCCUGGACCGGCAUUGACGCUGAGGCGCGAAAGCCAGGGGAGCAAACGGG